GACGAACGCUGGCGGCGUGCCUAACACAUGCAAGUCGAGCGAAUGAAGUUCCUUCGGGAACGGAUUUAGCGGCGGACGGUGAGUAACACGUGGGCAACCUACCUCAUAGAGGGGAAUAGCCCUUCCGAAAGGGAGAUUAAUACCGCAUAAGAUUGUAGUACCGCAUGGUACAGCAAUUAAAGGAGCAAAUCCGCUAUGAGAUGGGCCCGCGGGCGCAUUAGCUAGUUGGUGAGGUAACGGCUCACCAAGGCGACGAUGCGUAGCCGACCUGAGAGGUGAUCGGCCACAUUGGGACUGAGACACGGCCCAGACUCCUACGGGAGGCAGCAGUGGGGAAUAUUGCACAAUGGGGGAAACCCUGAUGCAGC
rnacentral:rRNA from 1 species